AUUGAACGCUGGCGGCAGGCCUAAAACAUGCAAGUCGAGCGGAGCGGCGGACGGGUGAGUAAUGCCUAGGAAGCUGCCUGGCAGGGGGGGAUGACGUCCGGAAACGGGCGCUAAUACAGCAUACUAUCAGAUGAGCCUAGGUAGGAGUAGCUAGUUGGUGGGGUAAAGGCCUACCAAGGCGACGAUCCGUAACUGGUCUGAGAGGAUGAUCAGUCAAACUGGAACUGAGACACGGUCCAGACUCCUACGGGAGGCAGCAGUGGGGAAUAUUGGACAAUGGGCGAAAGCCUGAUCCAGCCAUGCCGCGUGUGUGAAGAAGGUCUUCGGAUUGUAAAGCACUUUAAGUUGGGAGGCGUUACCAACAGAAUAAGCACCGGCUAACUUCGUGCCAGCCGCCGCGGUAAUUC
rnacentral:rRNA from 1 species